rnacentral:rRNA from 1 species
AAUACCCGCUGACUUAAGCAUUC